rnacentral:rRNA from 1 species
CCGGAAUCACUGGGCGUAAAGCGUGCGUAGGUGGCGUGUUAAGUGUGAUGUUAAAUCGUGUGGCUCAACCAUAUCGAUGUGUCGCAUACUGGCAUGCUAGAGGGAAGCAGAGGCAAGUGGAAUUUGUAGUGUAGCAGUGAAAUGCGUAGAUAUUACAAGGAACACCAAUGGCGAAGGCAGCUUGCUGGGCUUCUUCUGACACUGAGGUACGAAAGCGUGGGGAGCGAACUGG